ensembl:snRNA U6 U6 spliceosomal RNA
GUGUUCUGCAAUUUCAGCACACAUGCUCAAGUCUGAACACUACUGGGCAGAAUAUCCUGGCCCCUGUCCAAGAAGGACACCCAAAUCUGAGACGCAUAGUACAUCUUC